UCUGUUUACGUCUAAAACUAAAACCGUAUUGGUGAAUCACACGCCGGUGCGGUAUUCAAUUAGACAAAAUCAAAGCCCAUGGUUUACUAUUCCUCUAAAGCGUAUCGCCUCGAAGAUAAAGUCUUUAUAAAGUGCAAAAUCAACAACUUAUAAAC